UACGAAGGGGGCUAGCGUUGCUCGGAAUCACUGGGCGUAAAGCGCACGUAGGCGGCUUUCUAAGUCAGGGGUGAAAUCCUGGAGCUCAACUCCAGAACUGCCUUUGAUACUGGAGAGCUUGAGUCCGGGAGAGGUGAGUGGAACUGCGAGUGUAGAGGUGAAAUUCGUAGAUAUUCGCAAGAACACCAGUGGCGAAGGCGGCUCACUGGCCCGAUACUGACGCUGAGGCACGAAAGCGUGGGGAGCAAACAGG
rnacentral:rRNA from 1 species